UGGUCCAAUUUAGUGAAAUGGUGUAUUUUUUCUCUAUCAAAGAUGGUGGAUAAAUUUUUUUUCUUAUUUUUGUAAUCAGAAUGGCGUAUCUAGCUUAUUCAUGGGGCACCGAUUCUAUUUAACGUGACUUGGCUUGGUAGGGUUAAGUUCUUUAAAUGAUUUGGCAAUUGGGCUCCACCAAACUUGUAUUUAUUUCUGCUAUCAAUUCAGUUGCUUAGUGUCGGUUGCUUUCUGUCCUUUUUGUCUUUUGUUUUUUGUCUUAAUUGCAGGG
rnacentral:lncRNA from 1 species